AAAAAAAGACAAGGAAGGGAAAGAAAGAUAGUGACACAUGAAAGAAAAAGGCAAAGACACAGAGCCGGAUAUAUACAUAUAUAUGUAUAUAUCCGGCUCUGUGUCUUUGCCUUUUUCUUUCAUGUGUCACUAUCUUUCUUUCCCUUCCUUGUCUUUUUUUUU
rnacentral:ribozyme from 1 species